rnacentral:siRNA from 1 species
CCCACCCAUUGAGGGAAAAUGGCC